rnacentral:rRNA from 1 species
UACGUAGGGUGCGAGCGUUAAUCGGAAUUACUGGGCGUAAAGCGUGCGCAGGCGGUUCGUUGUGUCGGUGGUGAAAGCCCCGGGCUUAACCUGGGAAUGGCCAUGGAAACUGGCGAACUGGAGUGUGGCAGAGGGGGGUGGAAUUCCGCGUGUAGCAGUGAAAUGCGUAGAUAUCUGGAGGAAUACCGGUGGCGAAGGCGGCAUCCUGGACCAUUACUGACGCUGAGGCGCGAAAGCUAGGGGAGCAAACGGG